rnacentral:rRNA from 1 species
UACGUAGGGGCCGAGCGUUGUCCGGAGUUACUGGGCGUAAAGCGCGCGCAGGCGGCGCAUCGCGCCCGGCGUGAAAGCCCCCGGCUCAACCGGGGAGGGUCGUCGGGGACGGGUGCGCUUGAGGACGGCAGGGGCAGGUGGAAUUCCCGGUGUAGUGGUGAAAUGCGUAGAGAUCGGGAGGAACACCCGUGGCGAAGGCGGCCUGCUGGGCCGAUCCUGACGCUGAGGCG